GCAAAGCAACAGCAUAUCUUGUGGAGUUUUUUGUCUUAAGUUUGCUGAAAACUUUUUAAAUAAUGAGGAGCUAUUACAGUUGUUUCCAACUAAUGAAGUAGAUGUUUAUAGAAAGGAGAUUGUACAAUAUCUUAUAGAUAAAGGAGGUAUAAAACAUUGGCAAGACAAAUUAUGUUGCAUUUGUGGAAAAUUAAAGGGAC